UGGAACUCUAUAUUCCCGCCGUUAAUUGCUCUCAAGCCAGGGGCCAUCAACACCAUCAAGCUCUGUAGCAGCUUCUAUGCACAAACUCCUGUAAGUAAAACAAAGCCGACUGAUUGGUGAACACACUAGGGUACUAGAAAUAGCAGUGAUAAAGCAAAUCCCUGGUGACUUGGUUCAGUCGAAGAAGCCAUACCUGCAAACUUAGCCAUACGUAAAUCUUGAAGUACCCAUGACCCACAGACAUGGCAGAGGGAGAAAGCAGCACACGUUUAUGUUUGCUUGGCCUACGCACACAUCCGUACCUUUGCUUCAUCCUGUCUAAUGCUGGAAGGGAGGGAGCACAUGUCCACGUGACAAGCUGUUGUUGUUGUCGUUCUCUCACAUAUGGCUCAUACCCACACUGAGGAAUUGGCCAAGAAUUGUUCAUAUGAAAUUUUAAGUACAUGUAAGCCCUGAUUGUUUUUCUUCUUUUUGUUUCUAUUUUGCUCUGCAGCACAUAUCCAUUGGCAGCAUUGUGCACUUCACGUUAGACUAAGAAUCUAAGUGAUGUGCCAUGGUCAGCACUGUACCAAGUAGUGCCUGUUAGAUUGGGCAUUGCAUGCAUGUAACUUUGCCCAUCUGUCAAGGUGCUUCUUCCUUGAAAAAAAUGGUGCACAAGCUUCUGCUCUAAAUUUCCGCUGUUUUUUCGUCAAACACAAAUGAAACAGCAGGGAUGCCAGAAAGGAGGAUCAAAAGAAAGGACCCAAGUCAAUAGGGAACUCGGUGAUGCUUAUUGCUGGACUGGUCGUGGCAGCUCCCAUGCACUGUGGCAAUCGACAUCAUGCGAAGCAGCGAGUCUGGUUCCCGCCAUGGAGGACCAAUGGACAAUGACCAACACAUCGAAGCUACGGCUUCCAGUGGACAGCACAGCUGCCAUAUUUGCCCCUAUGUGUCAAAGAGGUCGUCAACGUUGAAACGGCACCUGUUGACUCACAGCAGGAAGAAACCCCUCAGCUGCCUAUUGUGUAAAACUGAUUCCAGCUGUGACAGACCAACGGACAAUGAUCAACACGUUCAAGCUACGACUUCCAGGGGACGGCACAGCUGCCAUCUUUGCCCCUAUGUAGCGAAAAGGCCAGCAUUGUUGAAACGGCACCUGUUGACCCACAAGAUGAAGAAACCCUUCAACUGCAUGUUCUGUCACAGGACUUUUGCACAAUCAGAUACAUUCGCAGAGCACAUGCGCAUACACAAUGGAGACAAGCCAUACCAUUGCCUUAUGUGCUCAUUUAAAGCUGCUCAUAAGAGAUUGUUAGUAUUGCACUGGAAAACGCAUGCCGAUUAAUGUCUCGGAAAGUUGUUGCGGUUUAUAGGGCUCGUACGGGCAAAAAGUCAUUGCAGUGUUGAGAAUGUGCAUGCACCAGCAUUCGUAAAGCGAACCUGACCUGUCGUAUUGUUAUGCUGUGAUCCAAGAAAGACACAUGUAUGAAAAACACAGUUGAAGUAGUGCCAGACAGCUCGCAUGUGUUAUCUUUUGUGUGCCAGUGUACUUGUGUGUGUAAAUAGUGUAUACAUGCGUUUUUGCCAGCCUCUCCCCUUAUUAACAUUAUGUUUGAGCACACCAGGUAGCUAGGCUGGUGCUCAAGGAACCAUUCGCAGUGCCACCACAGAAAUACUGCUAGGUGUAUGGGGGCAUCAACAUCCUAUCACCAUAUGAAAUACGGAAGGCACAAAACUACUUGGGAAGAUUGGAAUUAAGGAGACCUCAAAACACCAUUGUUACCUGCACUGAUGCUACAACCGGAGAUGAAAGAGCCAGCAUGGUCUGGAUUAGCACGUCUGCAUCGAAACAUGGCCCACUGUCGGCUUCUCAGGGGUGCAACUUUGCCCACAAAGUUCUUGGCAAUAUGGAAAGUGGUCAGUGUUAUUUCUAUCGGCACAUAAGACACUGUAAACAACAUUUUUAAAAAAUAACUAUCGUGCCCUUACAGGUUUGUACAAAGCAGUGGUCCAGCAGUGCCUUGACUAAAGAUGCUGCGGCCAACGACUUCAGAAAAAGAAAAGUUGCAGAAAAUGCAAGAAGUUGGGACACGUGUUAAAAAGUGAUGCUGGGACCGGCACAGACAGGGCAAACGUAGCCACUCGUGCAGUCACCAUGGGCUCAAUUAUACGUACAACACCACGCGCUCCACUUCCUCAGCAAACCCAGCAGAACUAUAUCCAUACCUAAAGAUCUUGCCAGAAGUGCUUUCCUAUCAGAGCACUAAACAUAUACUAGCGCAAAAAUCAUAAGUGAAAGGAAACAGAAGAAGGAGAAGAAAUAAAACUGUCUUUUUUACCUCUCCUUCUUCCGUCUCCUCUCUUUUCGAGGUUUACUCUAGUACGAUAUGUUAAGCAAACACCAACUCACCCAAGAACAAGUUAUUCUGUAGCAGAGCAUUACACUCACACCAUAACCAAAGCUGACAGCAAAAAAACUAUUGAAAGCUACACUAGCGCACAUGUCGUAUAAGGAGGAUGGGUUUACUCAGUCAACAAGCAAUCUUUUUAAACAAGGUUAUAGCCAACACAGCAUACAUGUCACUCACACUUGACAAAUGGUACCAAGCCAGCCAACCAUUGAUUGAAAAUACCUGUACUUGAUGCACGAAUUGUCAGUCAUUAUGCUGAGUAGAUUUUGAACUCGUUUGAACAUGCAUAGCUUCUCACAAGGGAGACCAACAUCUACAAUGUACAACAAUGUAAUAGCAAAGCACAGAAAGCCCUUGCUGUAUAUGGUAGCCAAAGCAGCCUGUGUCAAGUAGUGUAAGAGAGGUUGACUGACUCGUGCAAAAGUGACCGAAUUGAAUGUAUAUUGAACAAGCAGUCUACAUAUACCAGUUGAGCAAGGAGGAACAGAAAAUGAUGUGAAGUUGCUGUUCACCUGACAAUCCCCUAAACCAGACCCCUUUAUCACUUAAUCUCCGGCAGCAGCCAAGAGCCCUCCCUUGUUUGAAUAAAGGUCACAUUCAUUUGUUCAUUUUCAUAAUGAACACUUACUUUCUGGAGUGAAAAGAAAAUUAACCUUGGCUGCCAAUAUAUAGGCAACGACAGCAGUAACAAGUGGACCGCGACUUCAGUGUUGGCCCUGCACCUUGGUAUUUUCUGAAUUGUAUUCAG